UCAUAUUGAACAGUUGAACUGUUGAAGAAGAUAUUUAUCAGGUUAUAGUAGCGCUGUUUAACAGAGAAUUUGCUCCAUAUAUUUGUCAUUUAUCCAAAAAUGAGUCAGGAAAUUGAAUAAUUAUAUUCAUACAGUACCACUUGAACAAGAAUGGUGAGGGGGUAGCAUCCAAGUCGUAUUCCAGAGCACAAUCAGCACAUGUGACGAUGUGUUUUUGCACUUGGUCACACUGUCAGUACUACUUGUCAGAGCCAUCAGGAUAAUUUUGACUGGCAAUGUCUUUACCAACGGCAUAAUAGCACUGUAAAAUGGGUCAUUCCUGUUAAUUCCAUCACAAGGCUAACAGAAAUGGCAUUAUAAUAUGGUAAAGGGUGAGUAAUAUCUUGGCACGGGUCAAUUGUCGAAAUUGGCCACGGAGCUAUAUUCAAAUGGAGAUGAAGCUAUGAUGUCAUACAAUUAAAAUCUGUAUCAAUGAUUUAUUAUCACACAAGUUCACAUUUUUGUGAUAUUUUCCGAGACCAUGUUAGGCAAGAGAAAUCUUACAGAUACGUGUACAUGUUUAUCCUCUGGUGGCCAUGAAUCGUUACCCUAAGCAUUUUACAGUGCUAGUUUGACAGACUAUAUUUCCUUAUUAUCCAAGCGCUCUAUGAUAAGAAAUUUUGCAGAUACAAUAUAUUUACUUUUAUGUAUAAAAAUAUACGACUCCCUGUUUUCUUUAUUAACGGACAUUUGUUGAGACUUUCUAACAUACACAGUAAGGGUGUUGACUUUAUGACAGGGACGAAUUAAGGGCACCGACAAUAAAUGUAUGCUGCCAAGUAAACUGAAAUUUGUUGUGGUAAUCUAAGAAGUUGCAAAAGUGUAUUUAAAAAGUAAUACAGAACAAGAAGAUGUAAAUUAUUCUCUGUAAUACUGAUAGAUGAACAUGUAAGCAAAUUUGGUUAUGUAAAACAAGAUGUUGGAAACUGAUCAACUCCAAUUAAGGGCCAAUGAAUCUGACAUGCAAAGGAUUGUGGGUCAGAAUUUGAAUUCUUUUUAUAUUUAGCUCUACUAUUCGCAGAAUAAUCGAGCUAAUGCAGUCACCCAUUUGUCGGCGUCGGCGUCCCUGUGGUUAAGUUUUUGUGUGUAAGUUGGUAUCUCCAUAACUACUGAAGGGAAUGGAUUGAAACUUCACACACUUGUUCUCUGUGAUUAUCUAAGAUGAUUGGCACAAGUCCCAUAACUCUGAUUUGCUUUUUUACAUAAUUAUGCCCCUUUUUCAACUUAGAAAUUCUUGGUUAAGUUUUUGCGUGUAAGCUGGUAUCUCCAUAACUACUGAAGGGAAUGGAUUGAAACUUCACCCUCUUGUUGUCUGUGAUUAUCUUAGAUGAUUGGCAAAAGUCCCAUGACUCUGAUAUGCUUUUUUACAUAAUUAUGCCCCUUUUUCGACUUAGAAAUUCUUGGUUAAGUUUUUGCGUGUAAGCUGGUAUCUCCAUAACUACUGAAAGGAAUGGAUUGAAACUUCACACACUUGUUUUCUGUGAUUAUCUAAGAUGAAUGGCAUAAGUCCCAUAACUCUGAUUUGCUUUUUUGCAUAAUUAUGCCCCUUUUUUGACUUAGAAAUUCUUGGUUAAGUUUUUGCGUGUAAGCUGGUAUCUCCAUAACUACUGAAGGGAAUGGAUUGAAACUUCACACUCUUGUUGUCUGUGAUUAUCUAAGAUGAUUGGCACAAGUUCCAUAACUCUGAUUUACUUUUUUGCAUAAUUAUGCCCCUUUUUCGACUUAGAAAUUCUAGGUAAAUUUUUGCUUGUAAGCUGGUAUCUCCAUAACUACUGAAGGGUUUGUACCUUUUCGGACAAUUUUAUGUAUUCAUAUAGGUAAGCAUUAUUAUACUCAAUAAAAAACACCCUUGUGACAACUUUUCGAAUAGUCGAGCGUUACUGUCCUCCGACAGUUCUUGUUAGAGCUUCUUAUCCCUCUGUAAUAAAAGUCUCUGACUCGGCACAGGUCAACUAGACCUUAUAACAUAAAUUUAUUACCAUAUCAGGGUUUUAAUUAGGAGGCAGCUAGCGGCUGAUUUGACUGACUAAAAUGAAAUUCGGGCCGCCUCAAAUUUGCAAAAAAAAAUAUUGGUCACCAGCAAAGAGAGACUGUCAACAACAAUCUAUUUAUAUGAUUUUAUUCAACUUGUUCAAUAAAUUUAGUAUUAAACCUACACUCAUUCAGUAUCCUACUUUUUAGCUCACCUGAGCAUGCUCAGGGUGAGCUUUUAGGAUCGAUGAUUGUCCGUCGUCCGUCCGUCGCCCAUUCACAUUUAGUUGUUAACACUCUAGCGGUCACAUUUUUGCCGCAAUCAUCAUCAAACUUGCUCAGGAUGCUUAUCUAGUUGAUAGCUCGGAUGAGUUCGAACAUGGGUCAUCUCGGAUGAGAAACUAGGUCACAAGAGCUAAAAAUAGAAAAACCUUGUUAACACCUAGAGGUCACAGUUUUGCCUCAAUCAUCAUCAAACUUGGUCAGGAUGUUUGUCUAGGUGAUAGCCCGGAUGAGUUCGAACAUGGGUCAUCUCGGAUGAAAAAGUAGGUCACCGGAGCUAAAAAUAGAAAAACCUUGUUAACACUCUAGCGGUCACAUUUUUGCAUCAAUCAUCAUCAAACUUGGUCAAGAUGCUUGUUUAGGUGAUAGCUAGGAUGAGUUCGAACAUGGGUCUUCUCGGAUGAAAAAGUAGGUCACCGGAGCUAAAAAUAGAAAAACCUUGUUAACACUCUAGCGGUCACAUUUUUGCAUCAAUCAUCAUCAAACUUGGUCAGGAUGCUUAUCUAGUUGAUAGCUCGGAUGAGUUUGAACAUGGGUCAUCUCGGAUGAAAAAGUAGGUCACAGGAGCUAAAAAUAGAAAAACCUUGUUAACACUCUAGCGGUCACAUUUUUACAUCAAUCAUCAUCAAACUUGGUCAAGAUGCUUGUCUAGGUGAUAGCUCGGAUGAGUUCGAACAUGGGUCAUCUCGGAUGAAAAAGUAGGUCACCGGAGCUAAAAAUAGAAAAACCUUGUUAACACUCUAGCGGUCACAUUUUUGCAUCAGUCAUCAUCAAACUUGGUCAAGAUGCUUGUCUACGUGAAAGCUCGGAUGAGUUCGAACGUGGGUCAUCUCGGAUGAAAAACUAGGUCACAGGAGCUAAAAAUAGAAAAACCAUGUUAACACUCUAGAGGUCACAAUUUUGCCUCAAUCAUCAUCAAACUUUGUCAGGAUGCUUGUCUAGAUGAUAGCUCGGAUGAGUUCAAACAUGGGUCAUCUCGGAUGAAAAAGUAGGUCACCGGAGCUAAAGAUAGAAAAACCUUGUUAACACUUUAGCGGUCACAUUUUUGCAUCAAUCAUCAUCAAACUUGAUCAAGAUGCUUGUCUUGGUGAUAGCUCGGAUGAGUUCGAAACAUGGGUCAUCUCGGAUGAAAAACUAGGUCACAGGAGCUAAAAAUAGAAAAACCUUGUUAACACUCUAGUGGUCACAAUUUUGACUCAAUUGUCAUCAAACUUGCUCAGGGAAACUUGUCUAGGUCAUUGCUGGGAAUAAAUUGAACAUGGGUCAUCUCGGAUGAAAAAGUAGGUCACAGGAGCUAAAAAUAGAAAAACCUUGUUAACACUCUAGUGGUCACAAUUUUGACUCAAUUGUCAUCAAACUUGGUCAGGAAACUUGUCUAGGUCAUUGCUGGGAAGAAAUUGAACAUGGGUCAUCUCGGAUGAAAAAGUAGGUCACCGGAGCUAAAAAUAGAAAAAUCUUGUUAACACUCUAGUGGCUACUGUUGUGAUCCAAAUAUUCUGUUAAUUGGUCUGAAAGUUUGUUUUGAUGAUUUCUAAGUCAAGUUCGAACAUUGGUCAUCUUGGAUGAAAAAAACUAGGUCACACCGCCCAAAUAUGGAAAAACCUUGUUAACAUUCUAGUGGUCACAUUUUCGACUCAAUUAUCAUCAAACUUGGUCAGGAUGCUUGUAUAGGUAAUUGCUUGGAUGAGUUCGAAAUCGCAUGUGGAACUAGGUCACCGGAGCUAAAAAUAGAAAAAUCUUGUUAACACUCUAGUUGCUACUGUUUUGAUCCAAGUAUCCUUGAAAUUGGUCUAAAAGUUUGUUUUGAUGAUUUCUAGGUAAAGUUUGAAUAUGUGUCACCUGGGUAAAAAACUAGGUCGCACUGCUCAAAUAUGGAUAAUCCUUGUUAACACUGUAGUGGUCACAUUUUUGACUCACCUGUCAUGAGACUUGGUCAGAAUGCUUGUCUAGGUAAUUGUUUGGAUGAGUUUGAUAAAUCAGGUGAGCGAUCUAGGGCCAUCAUGGCCCUCUUGUU